GGUGCAGAAACUGGUCAGAUGUAUGUCUUUCUGCAGUUCGGAUAGAUCUGCAAACAUGCUAGGUGAAGCAAAAGGUGCUAAUCAAAAGCUUUUGAAAAAAAAAAAAACAGGUUCCCAAGACAGCCAGAGGUCUAACUAGCUAACAGAUUAUCUUAAGAAAUAAAGCAUACCAAUGUAACAAGCAUGCUCAGAUGUACUGUUCUGGGCUAUUGCUUUGGGUUGAUAAACAAGAAAAAAUAUAAUCAAAGCAUUAAGGAAAACAAAAAAAAGCACAUACUUAAUGGCUGCUUUGAAGGAAUUAAUACUUUCUAGGUUGAUAAUAAACUCACAAGAUGGAAGACACUGACAAUAAACGAUAACACAAUGAGACAGGAGGACAGCAACACGGCACAAGAAAUAAAGGGGAAACAUCGUACCAAAGAAACCCAAUACCAAACCCAAGAGCCCAAGUCAAAGCCAAAUGCAUUCACAAAACGUUCGUAACCAGGAAACUGUUUCCUGGCAUGGUAGCAGUGGGGUAGGAUUAUAUUUUGAUUGCCAAAAUAUUCCAUCCAAAGCGAAAUAGUCAGUAAACACUUCAUACAGUCGGAUAGCAUUGGAGGCCUCACUGGGUAAUUUGAGCUGCCCCUCGCAGGAGGGGCAUGGUUUUUCCCUUAUUUUCUAUUUUUGGUUUUAACAUGCUUCAGACUGCACUGUGGAUGGCUCAGUACACAGGCAAGACAAGGACAGCUCUCUGUGGCGGCAUCUCAGGAACUGUCCCUGGUUGUUGAUCCUACCUGUGACUGUACAUUGGCUCCGACUUGUGCCCCUUGGUAAGAAUCCCCAUUCAGACUCUGCAUGCUCAAGAACAUGUCCCCAGUGUUUGGGAGGCUAAAAGAACCCGAAGAACCUGGAGAGGGAAGAUGUAAGUGGCUGAAAACAUGAGAGGUCUAUAACGGGAGAAGCACAAGACACACACACACACAGGCACACACACACACACACCCCGCCCACGCACAAGCGACACAGACUCGCAGCACGCGUGCGUCUGUGCAAACAAAACCCAACUCAGGCAGACGAGUACACAGAAGAAAGUCUCCACAGAGCAAGCAACUACGGGGGCAAAGGAAGGGAAAGCAAAGGAGCCAAACGGAGGAGGAAGUACGGAAUGCAGCGGGACCAAAUGUCUCAUGACGAAUGUGGUGAACACAAAUGGGAUGAGGAUCACACGACACACAGGGGGACCGGCUCUACAUGUGGUUGGGUCGCCUAAGCUCCCAAUUGUUCCACAUCAGCUACUUCCAGGCUAAAGUCUCACAGGGAGGCAUCGUAUGAAUCCAGCUGAAACUCUUCAUCUUUCAUCUGGAAUCCUGGGUGCAAGAAAAAGGGACCACUUCAUAAGCUCGCCACAUCCCCACGCAGACGUACGAAUGCCUACCGGAGUUGGGAGUGGUGGGGGAGUUGGCCUGGCUGUUCUGCACCGCAGCGGCUGCAGCGUGUGCCGCGUUCACGGCCGUCUUGGCGGCGUACAGGUUGGCCUCUUCCUGAAACUUGCCGAUGUUCUUCUUGUACCGGAUCCGUUUGUUGCCGAACCAGUUGGAUAC